UAGGGAAUCUUCGGCAAUGGACGGAAGUCUGACCGAGCAACGCCGCGUGAGUGAAGAAGGUUUUCGGAUCGUAAAGCUCUGUUGUUAGAGAAGAACGUUGGUAGGAGCGGAAAAUCUACCAAGUGACGGUAACUAACCAGAAAGGGACGGCUAACUACGUGCCAGCAGCCGCGGUAAUACGUAGGUCCCGAGCGUUGUCCGGAUUUAUUGGGCGUAAAGCGAGCGCAGGCGGUUCUUUAAGUCUGAAGUUAAAGGCAGUGGCUUAACCAUUGUACGCUUUGGAAACUGGAGGACUUGAGUGCAGAAGGGGAGAGUGGAAUUCCAUGUGUAGCGGUGAAAUGCGUAGAUAUAUGGAGGAACACCGGUGGCGAAAGCGGCUCUCUGGUCUGUAACUGACGCUGAGGCUCGAAAGCGUGGGGAGCAAACAGG
rnacentral:rRNA from 1 species